CGGUUAAGUUAGAAAGGGCGCACGGUGGAUGCCUUGGCACUAGGAGCCGAUGAAGGACGGGACGAACACCGAUAUGCUUCGGGGAGCUGUAAGCAAGCUUUGAUCCGGAGAUUUCCGAAUGGGGAAACCCACUGCUCGUAAUGGAGCAGUAUCCAUAUCUGAAUUCAUAGGAUAUGAGAAGGCAGACCCGGGGAACUGAAACAUCUAAGUACCCGGAGG
rnacentral:rRNA from 1 species